AAGCUGAACGAUGUAAUUCCAUCCCCAGGCUGAAACACAUUAGCGCGUUUGGCAAGUGCUCUAUCAGAGGGCGAUCAGACUGAGGCUCGUGCAUGAGGGGAUAGCAUGCUUUUACUUUCACUCUCUUUGUAUUAAAAAACAAUUUCCCGGUCGGAAUAUUAUCGCUUUUUUACGAGAAAAGUGGCAUAAAAAUUGAUUUUAAACAGCGGUUGACAUGCUUCGAAGUACGGUAAUGGAAUAUUUAGAUUUUUUUUGUCACGAAACGCGUCGUGCUCGUCACCCUUAUUAACCCUUUCGGAUAGUGUCUUGAACGCACGAACAAAACGCCGCUAUUUGGAUAUAACGAUGGAUUAUUUGGGACCAAACCAACAUUUGUUAUUGAAGUAGAAGUCCUGGGAGUGCAUUCUGACGAAGAACAGCAAAGGACUCUCUAACACACCCCAAUCAACCUGGCUCUGAUGAUUUAGCCCGUAAUGAUGCCCCUGAGAUGAACCCACUGACACACCCCAAUCAACCCGGCUCUGAUGAUUUAGACUAUGAUGAUGCCCCUGAGAUGGACCCCCUGACACACCCCAGUCAACCUGGCUCUGAUGAUUCAGACCGUGAUGAUGCCCCUGAGAUGAACAAAGAAAGGAUUUACCCUGGGGCAUCAGUAACAAAGGGGCAAUGUCUUAUGGCAAUAAUGCUCUUUGUUCUGUGUCAUCACCUGACUGGAACUGCCCUGAUAGACCUACUUGCUUUGCUGAAUUUGCUUGUCCCCAACUUGGUUCCAACAUCUAAAUAUCUCUUCAAAAAGUUUUUGGGUAAUACUGCCCUGACAGCUGUCUCUCAUUUCUUUUGUGAUGAAUGCCAAAAUGCCAACCGGAGACACAAAUUGCUCACAUUGUGGAACUUCCUUCAUCAGAGAAACAAAACGUUUAUUUUUGUCAAUACCUUUGAGGGACCUUCUGCGAGAUACACUGGAGAACCAUGGAAUAGAUAUUUUGAGGAAAACAAUGAAGGAAGAAGAAUAUGAAAUUGAGGAUGUCAUGGAUGGAAAGAUGUACCAGACAUUACUGAAAGAGAAUAGGCUAUCUGCUGAUGAUUUAACAUUAACCUGGAUCUGUGAUGGAGUAUCCAUUUUUAACUCCUCAAAUUACUCAAUUUGGCCCCUUCAAUUUACCAUAAAUUAACUGCCUUACAUACAUCAGAAAGAAAAUGUGAUGGUUGCAGGACUUUGGUUUGGCCCAGAAAAACCCAGAAUGAAUAGCUUUUUAAAAACUUUUAUUGCUGAAUGUUGCGAUUUAGCCCAAAACCCAUUACUUUGGAGAGAUAACAGUGAGAUUCUGAAGAGGAGAAAGGUCUUCUCCAUGAUUUGUUCCUCAGAUGCAAUUGCCAGGCCAAUCCUUCAUUACUGUAAGCAAUUCAAUGGUGAAUAUGGUUGUGACUGGGGCUUGCACCCUGGUAAAGUUGUCCCCAAAGGCAGAGGAUAUGUAAGAUCCUAUCCUUACAGUCAACAACUGCAAAUUGAAAAAUCACACAAUCAAUUUAAGAAUAAUGCAUUUCACACUGCUCACACUCACAUCCUGCAAAAUGGUGUAAAGGAGUUGUCAACACUGUUUUUGCUUCCAUUGUUCUACAUUGUGUUUGGUUUUGUGGCAGACUCCAUGCAUUCUUGUUCUCCUCUGCAUAACUCGACAACAGUCUCUUUGAUUGGAAACGUGCAACUGUUUGAAUCUAUGGUACAUAGGUCGACUGCUAAAUCUCAAGACACCAAAGGAAAUCACAAGAAUAUUACGAUCAUUGCAUAUAAGAACAUUUUGGAAAGCAUCUGAGUGUUGUGCAUUUCUUCUGUUUUAUUCAAUCACUGUUCUGCCUGGCAUCCUCCUUCUGCCUUCAUUUGUACAAAAAAAAAUUCUACUGAAAUUCAGCAUGCAUAUUUUGCUUCAAGGAUCUAUUUCACAGCGUUACUUUAGAUUAGCUCACAUUUCUUUAGUCCUCUGUCAAGAAAAAUGAAGAAUUAUAUGGACAAACAUUUUUUUCUUUCAAUUGCCAUCAGCUAAUCCACCUUACUGAUUGUGUACUGAACUUGGGGCUUCUCUGGGCAACGUCAUGUUUUACAUUUGAGGGUAACAAUGGAAGUUUGAAAUCUCUUUUCCAUGGGACGCAGUGUGUUCCACAACAAAUUUGCCAGCUUUUCCUUCUUUGGCGAGACAUUCCCAAACAUCUUAGUAUUUUAGGAUUUCACCCAGAGUCAGAGUUCGGUAUAUUCCUUACAAAGCUUGCAGACAGAAGACUUAAAGGAGAAAAAAUCUCAGGCUCCCUCAAAACUCUUGGAAAAUCUGUACCUCUUCACCUCACAGCUUCUGUAAAACUUGCUGUAGAAUAACUAAUUACUGGAUCUGUCCCGUCCCAGCCUGUGGAGUACGGCCAAUUCAUUUAUGAACAGGUUGUUUAUCACACAACUUACUACAAAAUCUCAGAAAAAAGGGAUAACACCUCAGUCGUGUUCAAAAAUGGAUGUUGUGCACAACUGCUGUUGUUUUUCUUUGUUAGACUUAAUUGCUUUUGUCAAACAAAUUGCUUAUGUCAACCUAUUCCUAUUGUUGUGGUUCAACCAUAUGUAAUUCAAGCUGACAGUUUGUUCAUCAAAAAUAAUCUAGGCAUCUCAUCAAAUGUGUGUGAAAGUUGAGGUAGAGACAAAAAAAAUAGAUAUCAAGUGUAAAUGUAUUUAUGUGGAUGGCUGGCUUGUCCCUCUGCCAAACACUUAUGAGAGAUAUUAGUUAUGGGUGUUUUUUAGAGAGCUGGUAGAUGUUAUUGAGCUGAUUGAUAAUGAGAGCUGACUCCCAUUUGCAAUGGUGACCUGGCCAAGAAAAGCAUCAACAUACUUUAAUUCAGGUCCGUCCAGUGUGAGGAUAUGUUAGGGACUUGCAGCUCUGUCGGGUUCACCUUGGGGUCAUGAUAGGGGCUGUACCAAAUGUUUGAUGUAUUAUAAUAAUUGAUUAUGCUUAUGUUGUAUUAAUAGAAGGGGAAGGGUUAUAAGACCCCUCCCCCUUACAUGUAUAGGGUCCUAGACUACAGAUGAACAAUGUAUAUAUUCAUUAUAAGGUUUAAUAUUGUUCCACAGUCUUUUCUAGUCUCUGCCUCUUAUAAAGAAAUGGUCUGAGAGAUGUCUGACUGAGAAAGAACCCUGCAGGGGAGUGAAAGAGAUGAAAGACUAGUCAGACAUUCCACUAUAAAUCAACUUGGGGAGUGGACAUUUACUGCUGAGCCUUUAGAUAACACUGAAACUCUUGUUUGCAUAGCUGUGUAGGUAUGGGCUUGGUCUCAUGAAUAGAAGGUAAUGAUGUAGGCAGUGACAUCACUAAGGCUGGACUUCAGGCUUAAUAAAAUAACUUGGACACUACUAUUUUGCAGAAUUUACUCGGAAACAUGGGUGCUAUGUUCCUGUUCUGUCUGCAAUUGCAUUAAUAAAGGUUUUGAUUGAUUUAAUUAAAGAUAUUGUCUGAAUGCUAAUUUCACCAAUGAGCCAAUGAUUGACAAGGAACAAGGAACGAAUCCCAACAGCUCCCAGUUAAAACGCAUGCAUUUAGAGUCACUGGAAUUGAGCAAUAGUUGGAGAUCACUAAAUGUGUGUUGUAUGUCAUUUAAUUUGUGUGAUUCUAAAAGUAUCACUCAUUGAUAACUUAUCAGGGACAUACAUCAGUGAUGCAAGGGC
rnacentral:lncRNA from 1 species